GACGAACGCUGGCGGCGUGCUUAACUCAUGCAAGUCGAACGAAGUGGCGAACGGGUGAGUAAUACGUGGGUAACCUGCCCUCCUUUUUGGGAUAAGCCUUGGAAACGGGGUCUAAUACCGAAUAAAGGGGGAUGGGCUCGCGGCCUAUCGGCUUGUUGGUGGGGUGAUGGCCUACCACGGCGGUGACGGGUAGCCGGCCUGGGAGGGUGACCGGGCGUAUUGGGAGUGGGAUACGGCCCAGACGCCUACGGGAGGCAGCAGUGGGGGAUAUUGCACAAUGGUCGAAAGCCUGAUGCAGCGACGCCGCGUGGGGGAUGAAGGCUUGCGGGUUGUAAACCUCUUUCGCUCUCGAACGGGUAGGUGGAGAAGAAGCGCCGGCUAACUACGUGCCAGCAGCCGCGGUAAUUC
rnacentral:rRNA from 1 species